AUUGAACGCUGGCGGCAUGCCUUACACAUGCAAGUCGAACGGCAGCAUGAUCUAGCUUGCUAGAUUGAUGGCGAGUGGCGAACGGGUGAGUAAUACAUCGGAACGUGCCCUGUAGUGGGGGAUAACUAGUCGAAAGAUUAGCUAAUACCGCAUACGACCUGAGGGUGAAAGUGGGGGACCGCAAGGCCUCAUGCUAUAGGAGCGGCCGAUGUCUGAUUAGCUAGUUGGUGAGGUAAAGGCUCACCAAGGCGACGAUCAGUAGCUGGUCUGAGAGGACGAUCAGCCACAUGGGACUGAGACACGGCCCAGACUCCUACGGGAGGCAGCAGUGGGGAAUUUUGGACAAUGGGCGAAAGCCUGAUCCAGCAAUGCCGCGUGUGUGAAGAAGGCCUUCGGGUUGUAAAGCACUUUUGUCCGGAAAGAAAUGGCUCUGGUUAAUACCUGGGGUCGAUGACGGUACCGGAAGAAUAAGGACCGGCUAACUACGU
rnacentral:rRNA from 1 species